rnacentral:rRNA from 1 species
UUUAUAUGAGAGUUUGAUCCUGGCUCAGGAUGAACGCCGGCGGUGUGCCUAAUACAUGCAAGUCGUACGCACUGGCCCAACUGAUUGAUGGUGCUUGCACCUGAUUGACGUUGGAUCACCAGUGAGUGGCGGACGGGUGAGUAACACGUAGGUAACCUGCCCUGGAGCGGGGGAUAACAUUUGGAAACAGAUGCUAAUACCGCAUAACAACAAAAGCCACAUGGCUUUUGUUUGAAAGAUGGCUUUGGCUAUCACUCUGGGAUGGACCUGCGGUGCAUUAGCUAGUUGGUAAGGUAACGGCUUACCAAGGCGAUGAUGCAUAG